GAGCCCGCGGGGUGGGAUGUUGACCUCGGGGGCACCUGGGUGAGGGAGCCCCGGGGUCCUGGCCAUGUUGCAUGACCCUCCUAAACCUGGAACUGUCAGCCUUAUGGAGGAGUAAAGACGUAGGCAAGCUCGGGAGGGGUAAAUCGGAACCAUUUCUCGGCCGGGGGGCGCUUGGUGGGUGUCAGUGGAAAGCCGCGAGGGUGAGCCGUUGGAUUGCCUCGUGCUUCUCCUGUUUCUGCCAAGAGUUCACAGGACUGGGGCCCUCACUGAAUUGGAGCUACCUGCGCCAUUGGCCCGCUCUGCAAUGGCAUCCUCCCCUCUCCCCGCUCUCUCUCCGGCCCCUGCCAGGCCUCCCCUGUCUGGGUACAGGCUGCCUCCUGCACCUGUCAAGUUCCAGGCCAGUUCCAGGAACUGCAGUCGGAUUGGUGUUGUUGGGGUACAGUGUCACCCAUGGUGGCCAGCAUCGGCCAUUGAGGGCAACUCCAGAGAGUGGAAGAUCCUCUCAGCUGGGUGGAGUCCUGGACACCUGCUGAGAUGCUGUCAGUCUAAGCACUGGACGGACUGAUGCAAUCAAAGGCUGGGCCAUGAGGCUUUGACUGCUCAAGUGGUGGGAAUUUCUUGUCCCUGUCCCCCUGCAAGUUCUGAUCUGCACUUGCCUCAGCCUCUUGUGCAGACACCGAGCCCUCUCCAGCAGCUCACGGAGAGGGCCAAAGUUCAACACAUCUCUGGAGCAGCAACCCUUUUCUUGGCAGGGAAAGGCCAAUUCACUGAGGCCAUGUGUAAUGCUUUAGCAAACUUCCUGGAGUACCACCUGAUGUUUUCCCCCGGAGUCUAGCCCUCAGCUUUGACUGUUGGGGAAUUGCCCCUUGGACUGGGCGUAAUAAUGCCGGCUCUGGCUCACCAGCGUCUGGAAGGAGUUGCUCUGCUCUGGAGGCUGUUUCCAUCCCUUGUGUCCGAGUGGAAAGAUCCCAGAUGGCGCCGCUGUGUCUUCCCAACUCCACGUUCCGGGGCGUUGUGUUGGCAGCUCGGAAUCAGCCAUGAGGGAGUAUUCACACCACAGAAAAUGGCAGAUGCCCCAGACCAGGGCUUCAUUUAUUAUUUUGGUGGUCAACUAGAUUUAAAAAAUUGAGGGAAAAAAAUGUUAAUAAUGCAGAUGAAACGUUAAAGUGUGUCAUGUCUGUAGCCUUACCUUCUGAAUAGCAUAACAAUUCAAGGGUGUACUCUUCCUGCAUUCAAAAGCUGUUAUCUGAUUCAACAAAGAAGUAGCUCACAUCAUUCACAGAUGAACCAACGAAUGAAGUUCUGACACAUCUUCAUUGUUUCACUCUUGUCUCACUCGUGACAGUAAAUGAAGAGAUGGACAAACGUCCAUGCAAGGAUGACACUGAGAAAGCCUGUUAAUGUCCCUGAGCACCCCCCUGGCCUGAUUCCCGACUGCUGCUGCUCGGCCCUGCCCAGCUGUCCUUGCUCACCCCGCAGGGGCCUGGGGACAGGUCUCAGCUAAAGGGAUGACUCCAAGGCAGAAGGCAGGAGCAAGGAGACUUCAGCAGAAGGGCCGCCAGAGCUUGGGGCUGGCACUCCUUGGGUCAGCAGCCUCAACGCAGCAGCACUCAGCACCCAGGCAGACCACAAAAGAAAUGGGACAGUUUAGUGACAACUUGGAGAGUGAGAGGUGCCCUGCAGAGUCAGCAGGGGUUGUGGGGCCUCCUGAGACACAGAGUUGAUGCCCUUGAAGGGAAAUCUCUGGAUCUCUCCCUCUCUAGCCUGCAGUGGCCAUCACCUCCACCACACCCUGCCCAGGUCCAGU